AUGCAAGCAUUUUGAGACCGCCUAGAAAUCUGUGAGCUGACUGGUUUGGGCUUCACAGGGGUGCCCCAUAAAUAUGAAAACAAGAGGGCAGGUAACUAAAAUGUAAAAGUACGCCUGGACAGAGCCUGUGCUAACCCCGCUUGGAGAAACAUGUUUGAAAACAAUUCUAUUCGGCACCUUGUUUCAUCAUGUUCAGACCAUUCUCCUCUUCUGGUUGGCUAUGACAUACUUGUUGAUCAGCAUGUGCGACCACGGCUGCGGCAAUAUGAGGUCAUGUGGGAGAGGGAACUAGCUAUUCAGGACGUAAUACAUAAAGCAUGGGUGCAAGCAGGUUCAAAACAAUCCUUGGGUGAUGUACACCAUGCACUUCGGGGUACCAUGCUUAAAUUGUGUCAAUGUAGCAAGGAAAAAUUUGGAAGUGUAACACGAGAAACUUAGAAAUCUCGUACACAACUCGAGGAACUUAUGUUGAUGAAUGCAGACAAAAUGGAGAUACGAAGAUUAACCGAUUGAAUGAAUGAGCUGCUAUACAGGGAAGAGCUUAUGUGGAUGCAGCGAUCAAGGAUUACAUGGCUGAAAGAUGGGGAGAUGAAGACAAAUUUUUUUCAGUCAAAGUCAGUAUGGCGUGCAAGAAAGAACAUAAUCAAAAAACUAGAGGAUCACAAAGAUAACACUUUUACUACUCAAAAGGAGAUGAGCACAACAACCUCUAGUUACUUUCAGCACAUAUCCAAUGCAGGCAAGGAAUUGGAUCCGUCGCUAGUUGUGGAUUUGUUUGAGUCAAAGAUCUCUGAUGAGACAAAUGAAAAUCUAUGUAAAGAUUUCACUGAUAAAGAAAUCUCAGACGCAUUAUUCCAGAUAGGCCCUUUGGAGGCAUCGGGUCCUGAUGGCUUUCCAGCGAGGUUUUUCCAGCGAAACUUGGGGACCCUAAGAGAGGAAGUUAUUGCGGCUGUUAAGGAAUUCUUCCGGACUACUAUCAUGCCCCCUGAGGUAAAUGAUACGAUUAUUGUUAUAAUUAGGGCUGGAAAAAAAGCUCGAAGCUCGCAAGCUAAACAAGUAGCUCGUGACUCGGCUCGAAUCGACUCGAACUCGAAGAAUAACGAGUCGAGCCGAGCUUUAGUUUAA
rnacentral:rRNA from 1 species